UGACGAGUGGCGAACGGGUGAGUAAUACAUCGGAACGUGCCCAGUAGUGGGGGAUAACUACUCGAAAGAGUAGCUAAUACCGCAUACGAUCUAAGGAUGAAAGCGGGGGACCUUCGGGCCUCGCGCUAUUGGAUCGGCCGAUGUCAGAUUAGGUAGUUGGUGGGAUAAAAGCUCACCAAGCCGACGAUCUGUAGCUGGUCUGAGAGGAUGACCAGCCACACUGGGACUGAGACACGGCCCAGACUCCUACGGGAGGCAGCAGUGGGGAAUUUUGGACAAUGGGCGAAAGCCUGAUCCAGCAAUGCCGGGUGCAGGAUGAAGGCCUUCGGGUUGUAAACGGCUUUUGUACGGAAAGAAAAAGCUUCUCCUAAUACGAGAGGCCCAUGACGGUACCGUAAGAAUAAGCACCGGC
rnacentral:rRNA from 1 species